GGGGGUUGUUUACCCCGCCCCCAGUGGCGGGGCCAGCUCUCCAGCCCGGAGUCAGCUCCCACAGGAACUCUGGAGCUCUCAGUCUGCAGGGCCUGGAGGCUCCGGGGCGGG
rnacentral:pre_miRNA from 1 species